ACCUGGCUAGCUCAGUAGGUAGAGCCUGGAACUCUUGAUCUUAGGGCUGUGAGUUCGAGCCUCACACUGGGUG
rnacentral:tRNA from 1 species